AUGGACCAAUCCAUCCCUUUUUCCCGUGCAUAUGCAUCGGACUCGGAUGACGAUGGUCCCGAUGAAGAAGUUGAUGAGGAGGGGUUCACGCCGAAGGAUGCCCAAGCAUUCAAGAAGGUAUUCGGGAAGGACCACAAGACACCAUUGUUCAAGGAUCUUAGUCUCGCGGAUGAAGCCGUUGUGGAUGGUGGCAAAUGCAUAUCUCUUGGAGCUAGGCCAAGUUCUCAC
rnacentral:rRNA from 1 species